ACGGAUUUGUAACACUUUUGGAGUCUGCAGAGGAUACUGCAUUGGACAUUUUGGAUGCUUCGAAUGAGUUGGCUCUGUUUCUAGCCCGUGCAGUGAUUGAUGAUGUAUUAGCCCCAUUAAAUCUGGAGGAGAUUAGCAGCAGGCUUCCGUCCAAUUGCAGUGGAAGUGAAACCGUCCACAUGGCUCGUUCACUUGUUUCUGCUCGUCAUGCAGGUGAGAGGCUUCUUCGAUGCUGGGGUGGUGGCACUGGUUGGGCAGUGGAGGAUGCAAAGGACAAGAUUACAAAGCUUCUUGAGGAGUAUGAGAGUGGAGGAGACGUAGGGGAAGCAUGCCAGUGCAUCCGUGACCUUGGGAUGCCUUUCUUCAAUCAUGAGGUAGUGAAG
rnacentral:misc_RNA from 1 species